CCCGCCACUAUGCCGGUCCUCUGUGACGUAGCGUAUUCCAGUGGAGGCUCAGAGUGACCCAGCUUUAGGAAACAGGGCUGCCCACGUGAAUGGACACCCCUGUGCCGAAAAGUCUGGAACACAA